GACAGAGGGUGCAAACGUUGUUCGGAAUUACUGGGCGUAAAGCGCGUGUAGGCUGCUUCGCAAGUCGGAUGUGAAAGCCCUGGGCUCAACCCAGGAAGUGCAUUCGAAACUGCAGAGCUGGAGUCCUGGAGAGGAAGGCGGAAUUCUCGGUGUAGAGGUGAAAUUCGUAGAUAUCGAGAGGAACACCGGUGGCGAAGGCGGCAUCCUGGACCGGCAUUGACGCUGAGGAGCGAAAGCCAGGGGAGCAAACGGG
rnacentral:rRNA from 1 species